GACCAGCUACGAAACACCAAAAAUAACUGCUUGGUGCACUGAUAAUUGCGUUAUUCUCUGCUUUUCCACCACUCGCAUUAGCUCUGGGGGAAGGAAACAUCCUGCUUCCCUAAGUCGAACACUUUAUUGCCAACCUGAAACGAUUUCAGGAUUGGCUUCCAGAGGUGGAAGCAGCACAGCCGCGUGCACAGCGUUGCAAGUGUGCAGACAGCGGGCUCUCAGCAUCCUGCAAUUCUCCUCAAGGUGAGACCUUCCCAGCCCCCGGCCCCAGCCCACGUGUGGACCCCUGGUUACCCCCAUGCUCCGGUGUUGCCCAGUGCAGGCCUGGAGCAGCCAGGGAGCCACAGGGACCUGAAACAACACGCGUCUGUGUGUGACUCAGCCGGGGCUUCCCCGCAGCCUCUGGGCGCAGGAAGUUUACCUGGGAGGGGAGGCUGGAGAGGAGCCGGGGGGGAGAGGCAGGGGGCUGCAGACCCCGGGAGACCUGUCCAGCCGCUGGACAGUAUGGGCAGCUCUGGGGCCAGGACGAGGAGUCUGAGUGCAGGCAGGAGCUCCUUCUGCAGCCCAGCAAAUCCUCCACUGGUCUGGGUGAUCAGAGGGGGCGCCUGCCCGCGGGGCUCACAGUGGCGUCCGUCCAGACUGUGCCUGCAGCCACCUCAACAGCCUUCAGGUCAGAUGGGCCACCUCUUCUGAUUGAGGCAACAGGAGGGUGAGCUGAUAGGUCCUCACCCCACGCUUGGCAAAUGCCAAGGGCCCGUCCCUGCAAACAAAGAACCAAGGUCAGUGGGUCAGGGAGGGAGGAAGAGCCUCCCUGAAACUGCCCCAGCUCCGCCCCUGGAUAGUGGGGGGCCAGGUCCACAAAGCUCCCGCCCCCGAAAAGACAGAGGUAACCGGCUCCCGGGAAGCAAGCGGCUGCCUGCCUGCCGGGGGCACAGAGGAGCUGCUGCCGGCUUGGCCUGGCGGGUCCGCACCUGAUGGGUCAGUAAUCCGGAGGGUGAGCCCCCUUCGUCUGUUCCUCAGAGAACAGGGCCACCCUUUCUGGCUUCACGGUAGCAGGAAGGCGUUCUGGGCCAGGUCUGGAUUGACAGCAGCUGCCUGGGGGUUAGGUUGAAGGCAGAACACUGAUUUCAGGCCAGGUCCUCUCUGCCGAGGAGGCAGUAGAAUUUUCUGGAAGCUUCUGAAUGCAGGUCCCAGGCCGGCUCUGCAGGCCGAAGAGUGCUGGGCACCCGGAGCUGGGACGCAGGUGGGCUGCCGUGGGGCACAGCCAGGGCAUUCUCUGCAGCAGCCGGCUGUUAGGGGGAAGCCGAACCAAAGGGGGGGGGUUCCUGGGCCCCGGGCCUGGGCCCUGCUCCUGGGUCCUCCCCAGGUGGGCUCUGGGGCCUCCGCUGAGCCCCCAGGUCAGGGUCAGGGCGUGGCAUCCUGUGCAAAGAGCUGGGGGGUCCUAACUG
rnacentral:lncRNA from 1 species